AUUUACACACAGGAAUACACACAGAGAUGCAUGCGGGGACAUAAUCUAUCAGUGAAAUCUGAAUGGGUAUUGACUACUCUUUUUUACACACACACACACACACACACACACACACACUAGUUUAGAAACAAAUUUGACUCCUCUUUUCUCUCACUAGUCAGCACCACCAUCUGUCUCCUUGUCAAUUACUUCUCUCUCUUCUUCUACUUGCCAGCACCUUUUCUCUCUCUCCUCAUUUACAUUUAC
rnacentral:lncRNA from 1 species